AUACAAAUGCUGGGCAAGUGCUCUGCCUCCUCAUAGCAAAAAUGUUUGUUUUUCUUUAUAAAGAAUGAAAGUCAAGCUUCAACAGACGACAGUGAAAACUCCUCCAGAUCCCUCGGAAGUAAACCACAGAGCAAGUCCAAAGCUGCUCCAUGGAACUCGUUUCUCCCUCCACCACCCCCAAUGCCAGGAUCAGGACUGGGACCAGGAAAGGGUUUCAGACAAAAUAAAAAAGAAGGAAAGCGCUCAACAUACAAAUUAAACAGUUCAGCUCUCUGCCAAGGAGGUGGUAUGUUGGUGUCCCUGGUCGAUAUGAACAGACGUCUCGUCAUCAUCUUGGGGACUCUUGGCUGAGUGGUGUCAUCACCAGUGUUUUCCCGUUCUGGGUCCGGGCCUAACUCACCAGUGGGGUGUGUUUAGAGCACGAUCACUUUGAGGAACAGAAUGGUGGAACUGUGAGCACGUGGAAGUCAGUCUACCAAAGCUGUGACUGAGCACACCUGUACAAUUGUAACUUCCUUAGUGUGUCAAGAUUUUUAUUCAUGCUUUUACAAACAAAUAAAGUCCUUUUUUGAAAUAUU